rnacentral:rRNA from 1 species
GACGAACAGAGCGAACGUUGUUCGGAAUCACUGGGCUUAAAGGGCGCGUAGGCGGGCUGUCGCGUCCGGGGUGAAAUCCCGCGGCUCAACCGCGGAACGGCCUCGGAUACGGGCGGCCUCGAGGGGGGUAGGGGCAUCUGGAACUGUGAGUGGAGCGGUGAAAUGCGUUGAUAUUCACAGGAACUCCGGUGGCGAAGGCGAGGUGCUGGACCCCAUCUGACGCUGAGGCGCGAAAGCCAGGGGAGCGAACGGG